AUACAAGUCCCCUGGGGAUCUUGUUAAAAUGCAGAUUCUGAUUCGCUUAAUCUGAGUGAAGCCUGAGAUUCUGCUUUUCCAACAGGCUCCCGGGUGAUGCAAUA
rnacentral:pre_miRNA from 1 species